rnacentral:rRNA from 1 species
AGAGUUUGAUCCUGGCUCAGGAUGAACGCUGGCGGCGUGCCUAAUACAUGCAAGUCGAACGAGUUCUGAUUAUUGAAAGGUGCUUGCAUCUUGAUUUAAUUUUGAACGAGUGGCGGACGGGUGAGUAACACGUGGGUAACCUGCCCUUAAGUGGGGGAUAACAUUUGGAAACAGAUGCUAAUACCGCAUAAAUCCAAGAACCGCAUGGUUCUUGGCUGAAAGAUGGCGUAAGCUAUCGCUUUUGGAUGGACCCGCGGCGUAUUAGCUAGUUGGUGAGGUAACGGCUCACCAAGGCAAUGAUACGUAGCCGAACUGAGAGGUUGAUCGGCCACAUUGGGACUGAGACACGGCCCAAACUCCUACGGGAGGCAGCAGUAGGGAAUCUUCCACAAUGGACGCAAGUCUGAUGGAGCAACGCCGCGUGAGUGAAGAAGGCUUUCGGGUCGUAAAACUCUGUUGUUGGAGAAGAAUGGUCGGCAGAGUAACUGUUGUCGGCGUGACGGUAUCCAACCAGAAAGCCACGGCUAACUACGUGCCAGCAGCCGCGGUAAUACGUAGGUGGCAAGCGUUAUCCGGAUUUAUUGGGCGUAAAGCGAGCGCAGGCGGUUUUUUAAGUCUGAUGUGAAAGCCCUCGGCUUAACCGAGGAAGUGCAUCGGAAACUGGGAAACUUGAGUGCAGAAGAGGACAGUGGAACUCCAUGUGUAGCGGUGAAAUGCGUAGAUAUAUGGAAGAACACCAGUGGCGAAGGCGGCUGUCUGGUCUGUAACUGACGCUGAGGCUCGAAAGCGUGGGGAGCAAACAGGAUUAGAUACCCUGGUAGUCCACGCCGUAAACG